AUGUACUAGCUUGCUGAUUCCUCCUUCUUGUAGAACCGUAAUGCCAUUAAUUUGGUGUUGCGGGGAAACAGGACUGUUACUUUGAAAAAAUUAGAGUGUUUAAAGCAGGCUAGCGCCUGAAUACAUUAGCAUGGAAUAAUGAAAUAGGACGUUCGAACCUAUUUUGUUGGUUUCUAGGAUUGACGUAAUGAUUAAUAGGGAUAGUUGGGGGCAUUAGUAUUCAAUUGUCAGAGGUGAAAUUCUUGGAUUUAUUGAAGACUGACUACUGCGAAAGCAUUUGCCAAGGAUGUUUUCAUUAAUCAAGAACGAAAGUUAGGGGAUCGAAGACGAUCAGAUACCGUCGUAGUCUUAACCAUAAACUAUGCCGACUAGGGAUCGGAUGAUGUUAAUUUUUUAAUGACUCAUUCGGCGCCUUACG
rnacentral:rRNA from 1 species